CAGGUGAUUAAAACCUCAAAUAGACAACAGUAAUAUAAGAAGAGAUCUAAAUGCAAAGGUCAUAACAUCCGACUGUAGCAGCUGCUUCCUCUCGUAGAAAGUACAAAGCAUAUUUUUUGGUU